rnacentral:rRNA from 1 species
GCUAGUUGGUAAGGUAAAGGCUUACCAAGGCGACGAUCAGUAGCUGGUCUGAGAGGAUGAUCAGCCACACUGGGACUGAGACACGGCCCAGACUCCUACGGGAGGCAGCAGUGGGGAAUUUUCCGCAAUGGGCGAAAGCCUGACGGAGCAAGGCCGCGUGGGGGAGGAAGGUUCUUGGAUUGUCAACCCCUUUUCUCAGGGAAGAAAGCAAUGACGGUACCUGAGGAAAAAGCAUCGGCUAACUCCGUGCCAGCAGCCGCGGUAAUACGGGGGAUGCAAGCGUUAUCCGGAAUGAUUGGGCGUAAAGAGUCCGUAGGUAGUCAUUCAAGUCUGCUGUUAAAGAGCGAGGCUUAACUUCGUAAAGGCAGUGGAAACUGGAAGACUAGAGUGUAGUAGGGGCAGAGGGAAUUCCUGGUGUAGCGGUGAAAUGCGUAGAGAUCAGGAAGAACACCGGUGGCGAAGGCGCUCUGCUGGGCUAUAACUGACACUGAGGGACGAAAGCUAGGGGAGCGAAUGGGGUUAGAUACCCCAGUAGUCCUAGCGGUAAACGAUGGAAACUAGGUGUGGCCUGUAUCGACCCGGGCCGUGCCGAAGCUAACGCGUUAAGUUUCCCGCCUGGGGAGUACGCACGCAAGUGUGAAACUCAAAGGAAUUGACGGGGGCCCGCACAAGCGGUGGAGUAUGUGGUUUAAUUCGAUGCAACGCGAAGAACCUUACCAGGACUUGACAUCUCGGGAAUCUGCCUGAAAGGGGAGAGUGCCGUAAGGAACCCGAAGACAGGUGCUGCAUGGCUGUCGUCAGCUCGUGUCGUGAGAUGUUGGGUUAGGUCCCGCAACGAGCGCAACCCUCGUCGUUAGUUGCCAUCAUUAAGUUGGGAACUCUAGCGAGACUGCCGGUGACAAACCGGAGGAAGGUGAGGAUGACGUCAAGUCAGCAUGGCCCUUACGUCCUGGGCGACACACGUACUACAAUGCGAGGGACAGAGAGCAGCCAACCCGCGAGGGAGAGCGAACCUCAGAAACCCUGGCACAGUUCAGAUUGCAGGCUGCAACUCGCCUGCAUGAAGGAGGAAUCGCUAGUAAUCGCAGGUCAGCAUACUGCGGUGAAUCCGUUCCCGGGCCUUGUACACACCGCCCGUCACACCAUGGAAGUGAGCCACGCCCGAAGUCAUUACUCUAACCGAAAGGGGGAGGGUGCCGAAGGCGGGGUUGAUGACUGGGGU